UGAGUGGCGGACGGGUGAGUAACGCGUGGGCAACCUGGCCUGUACAGGGGGAUAACACUUAGAAAUAGGUGCUAAUACCGCAUAACGGGAGAAGCCGCAUGGCUUUUUCCUGAAAACUCCGGUGGUACAGGAUGGGCCCGCGUCUGAUUAGCCAGUUGGCAGGGUAACGGCCUACCAAAGCGACGAUCAGUAGCCGGCCUGAGAGGGUGGACGGCCACAUUGGGACUGAGACACGGCCCAAACUCCUACGGGAGGCAGCAG
rnacentral:rRNA from 1 species